AAGUGAGAAUGCCGGUGUGAGUAGCGAAAGACGGGUGAGAAUCCCGUCCACCGAUUGACUAAGGUUUCCAGAGGAAGGCUCGUCCGCUCUGGGUUAGUCGGGUCCUAAGCUGAGGCCGACAGGCGUAGGCGAUGGAUAACAGGUUGAUAUUCCUGUACCACCUAUAAUCGUUUUAAUCGAUGGGGGGACGCAGUAGGAUAGGCGAAGCGUGCGAUUGGAUUGCACGUCUAAGCAGUAAGGCUGAGUAUUAGGCAAAUCCGGUACUCAUUAAGGCUGAGCUGUGAUGGGGAGAAGACAUUGUGUCUUCGAGUCGUUGAUUUCACACUGCCGAGAAAAGCCUCUAGAUAGAAAAUAGGUGCCCGUACCGCAAACCGACACAGGUAGUCAAGAUGAGAAUUCUAAGGUGAGCGAGCGAACUCUCGUUAAGGAACUCGGCAAAAUGACCCCGUAACUUCGGGAGAAGGGGUGCUCUUUAGGGUUAACGCCCAGAAGAGCCGCAGUGAAUAGGCCCAAGCGACUGUUUAUCAAAAACACAGGUCUCUGCUAAACCGUAAGGUGAUGUAUAGGGGCUGACGCCUGCCCGGUGCUGGAAGGUUAAGAGGAGUGGUUAGCUUCUGCGAAGCUACGAAUCGAAGCCCCAGUAAACGGCGGCCGUAACUAUAACGGUCCUAAGGUAGCGAAAUUCCUUGUCGGGUAAGUUCCGACCCGCACGAAAGGCGUAACGAUUUGGGCACUGUCUCAACGAGAGACUCGGUGAAAUCAUAGUACCUGUGAAGAUGCAGGUUACCCGCGACAGGACGGAAAGACCCCGUGGAGCUUUACUGUAGCCUGAUAUUGAAAUUCGGCACAGCUUGUACAGGAUAGGUAGGAGCCUUUGAAACGUGAGCGCUAGCUUACGUGGAGGCGCUGGUGGGAUACUACCCUAGCUGUGUUGGCUUUCUAACCCGCACCACUUAUCGUGGUGGGAGACAGUGUCAGGCGGGCAGUUUGACUGGGGCGGUCGCCUCCUAAAAGGUAACGGAGGCGCUCAAAGGUUCCCUCAGAAUGGUUGGAAAUCAUUCAUAGAGUGUAAAGGCAUAAGGGAGCUUGACUGCGAGACCUACAAGUCGAGCAGGGUCGAAAGACGGACUUAGUGAUCCGGUGGUUCCGCAUGGAAGGGCCAUCGCUCAACGGAUAAAAGCUACCCCGGGGAUAACAGGCUUAUCUCCCCCAAGAGUUCACAUCGACGGGGAGGUUUGGCACCUCGAUGUCGGCUCAUCGCAUCCUGGGGCUGUAGUCGGUCCCAAGGGUUGGGCUGUUCGCCCAUUAAAGCGGUACGCGAGCUGGGUUCAGAACGUCGUGAGACAGUUCGGUCCCUAUCCGUCGUGGGCGUAGGAAAUUUGAGAGGAGCUGUCCUUAGUACGAGAGGACCGGGAUGGACAUACCUCUGGUGUACCAGUUGUCGUGCCAACGGCAUAGCUGGGUAGCUAUGUGUGGACGGGAUAAGUGCUGAAAGCAUCUAAGCAUGAAGCCCCCCUCAAGAUGAGAUUUCCCAACUUCGGUUAUAAGAUCCCUCAAAGAUGAUGAGGUUAAUAGGUUCGAGGUGGAAGCAUGGUGACAUGUGGAGCUGACGAAUACUAAUCGAUCGAAGACUUAAUCAA
rnacentral:rRNA from 1 species